AUUGAACGCUGGCGGCAGGCUUAACACAUGCAAGUCGAGCGGAGAUGAGGUGCUUGCACCUUAUCUUAGCGGCGGACGGGUGAGUAAUGCUUAGGAAUCUGCCUAUUAGUGGGGGACAACAUUCCGAAAGGAAUGCUAAUACCGCAUACGCCCUACGGGGGAAAGCAGGGGAUCCUCGGACCUUGCGCUAAUAGAUGAGCCUAAGUCGGAUUAGCUAGUUGGUGGGGUAAAGGCCUACCAAGGCGACGAUCUGUAGCGGGUCUGAGAGGAUGAUCCGCCACAUUGGGACUGAGACACGGCCCAGACUCCUACGGGAGGCAGCAGUGGGGAAUAUUGGACAAUGGGCGGAAGCCUGAUCCAGCCAUGCCGCGUGUGUGAAGAAGGCCUUUUGGUUGUAAAGCACUUUAAGCGAGGAGGAGGCUACCUGGAUUAAUACUCUAGGAUAGUGGACGUUACUCGCAGAAUAAGCACCGGCUAACUCUGUGCCAGCAGCCGCCGUAAGAC
rnacentral:rRNA from 1 species